rnacentral:rRNA from 1 species
AUUGAACGCUGGCGGCAGGCCUAACACAUGCCAGUCGAGCGGAUGAAGGGAGCUUGCUCCUGGAUUCAGCGGCGGACGGGUGAGUAAUGCCUAGGAAUCUGCCUGGUAGUGGGGGAUAACGUCCGGAAACGGGCGCUAAUACCGCAUACGUCCUGAGGGAGAAAGUGGGGGAUCUUCGGACCUCACGCUAUCAGAUGAGCCUAGGUCGGAUUAGCUAGUUGGUGGGGUAAAGGCCUACCAAGGCGACGAUCCGUAACUGGUCUGAGAGGAUGAUCAGUCACACUGGAACUGAGACACGGUCCAGACUCCUACGGGAGGCAGCAGUGGGGAAUAUUGGACAAUGGGCGAAAGCCUGAUCCAGCCAUGCCGCGUGUGUGAAGAAGGUCUUCGGAUUGUAAAGCACUUUAAGUUGGGAGGAAGGGCAGUAAGCUAAUACCUUGCUGUUUUGACGUUACCAACAGAAUAAGCACCGGCUAACUUCGUG